UAAGGCUAGUACAUGUCAGUGAGGUAUAAUGAGAGGAAGUGGUGUCACAAUUCAGAACACCUAGGUUCUAAUCUUAACCGGCAUACCCAGCUGCCUGGAGUUUUACAAAUCAUUUUAUUACUCUGGGUUUGAGUUUCCUGCUUGCAAACCUGGGAUAACAAACAGGUCUAUCCCUUAAAAGUUUCUAGAAAUGUACUGUGAUUGUAAACCUAAUAUGCUCUAUAGAUUAUUUUAAAGCACUGUGAAAGCGUUUACCAUUAUCAUUGACCGCCAUUACCUAAAAAUCUCUGUUUAAUCCAUCUACCUUGCAUCUGACCCACGGAUCUCUGGUACUAGGUUGCAGACCAAUGUUCUUCCAGGAUUGGCUACGCAGAUACGCGACACUAUAGAUGUCACAGUCAUGGUGCACACCUGACUUCAAAGCUGUAUUGGCCCUGUGACACUCACUACAUGGCUGUUGAAUUAAAAUGCAUCACAAGGUAUGCUGAGAUGCCCUCAAGAAGCCAGCUGCAAAUCCUCUGCUUUGGCGUCUGAUAAUGAACCUUAUAAGACCAUCUUUCCUACUGUGAGUUUAAGGAUGGGCAGUGCUAUUGUGGUGUCUGCAAUUAGUAAUAUUAGCGAAGAAAGGAUUCUACUUUCAGGACAAUUCAGAAAAUUCUGUAAUUUUGAAAAGAAAUGAAAAUGCUGGUUCUAUAAUGAAAGAAACUGAUAUUUUCUUUGGAGAGCCUCUGGCCAUGUAACAAUACAAUGAAUCUCAACGGUAGUGGCAUCUUGAAGACCAUGACUGGAUUCUAUUAAUUGU